rnacentral:rRNA from 1 species
CCUACGGGGCGCUGUAGUCGAGAAUCAUUCACAAUGGGGGAAACCCUGAUGGUGCGACGCCGCGUGGGGGAAUGAAGGUCUUCGGAUUGUAAACCCCUGUCAUGUGGGAGCAAAUUAAAAAGAUAGUACCACAAGAGGAAGAGACGGCUAACUCUGUGCCAGCAGCCGCGGUAAUACAGAGGUCUCAAGCGUUGUUCGGAAUCACUGGGCGUAAAGCGUGCGUAGGCUGUUUCGUAAGUCGUGUGUGAAAGGCGCGGGCUCAACCCGCGGACGGCACAUGAUACUGAGAGACUAGAGUAAGGGAGGGGGAACCGGAAUUCUCGGUGUAGCAGUGAAAUGCGUAGAUAUCGAGAGGAACACUCGUGGCGAAGGCGGGUUCCUGGACAUUAACUGACGCUGAGGCACGAAGGCCAGGGGAGCGAAAGGGAUUAGAUACCCUUGUAGUC